AAUUUGUAAGGGACAGCUCGGGGAUGCAGCAACCGGAACGGACGUCCGGAUCAAAAAUGGCCUUCUCACCUGCAGCGAUUGUUACAUCAAAUCCAGAACCGCUGGUCAGCCAACCACUUUGUGACAUGGAUCUCAGUUCUGCUUACAGAUGUUCUGCAAGAAGGAACAUCAUCAUUUGUGUCCUGGGGCUGUUCAGCACAAUUGCUUGUAAGAGCUCAAAUCCAUGGACUUCAUAGCUCUUCUCUCACUUUGAAAGCUGGGUUGAAAGGCUCAAAUGCCUAUUUCCUCAUGCAAUACAUAAUUUUAUUUCCUGAGUUCACUUAUGUUACAUGUAUGAAGUAUGUGGCUGGACAUUUAGUUCCUUUCCCUCCUAGGAGAGCGUGUUCCAGAUUAUCGGUCACGAUUGGUUUCAGAAUCUAAUAUUUUGAAAGGAAUGAAGAUGCAAUAAGUCUAUUCUGUUUUAAUAUCCUAGAAACUGAGAAUUUUAAGCUUACACAAACUUUGUAGAUGUUCUCUAAUAUGCCAAUAUAUUAAUCUAAUUAACUCUGUUGGCGGGAGGAGGUUAAGCAGCAUCAUAGAAACCAACUUUUCUGUUUAUUACUAAAGAGGUAACUUUUUUUAUACAGACACGUUUGAUAAAACAUAUUGUAAUUCUGAAACCUUUUACUAUAUUGCCUUCAGUGGAGGGUAGGAAUUCUCUCAAUAAAUUAUUGCACCUUCAGUCAUGCAAUCUUUGAAGACAUAAAAUGAGGCUUCUUGUAAUAACAGAUCAUCUACAUAAUGUUGGCAUUUUCACGAAACAAUAUAAACAUUCGGCGAUUGUCAAAACGCCUAACGGGUGGAACCUGUUUUUUAGCUGACCUUUGCUAACUCUUUCGGUUUUAAUUAAGAUAAACUCAGAGUUUUAUUUUACUGGGAAAAAAUUAAUAUUACAGCUCCCCUUUGCAGUUACUAUAUAAUGAUGUGGAAGUCUCAGUAGCUGUGAAGCUGUCAUUCCGUGGUAACCAGGUUAGCACUGGAGAUGAGGAACCUGAAGAGAUCACAAGAAGCUUCUGAUCCCCGCACUGCUCUCUGGAGAAGUGGUGAGGAUGUAAAAUGGGGCUCCUCUUGUAAUUAACCCUAAAUACAUCUUAAAAGAAACCCUUAACAGAAUUAUAGUACUGCCAAAGCAAGAGCAAAGGCCAGCACUUCCUUCUGUUAAACUGAAUGGGGCAGACACUGAGCACAGAUGGAACUCCUUUGAAUGGGAAGCAUGUUCAUCCUGCCAGCCUGGCUGCUCAUAGACUGGAAAAUUCAAUGAUUGGUAAGACUGAGGAACAACCGAUUCAUCCUUCUUUCUGUUUUUAGCCAGGUUGGUAAUAUGCAGAACCGUCUACCUUGUUUAUAAAAGUUAUGCGCACUACAUUAUAUUACCCACAUUUAACUAAACAUUUUCAAAAGCUUCCCUCAAC